rnacentral:rRNA from 1 species
GACGAACGCUGGCGGCGUGCCUAAUACAUGCAAGUUGAGCGCUGAAGGUUGGUACUUGUACCAACUGGAUGAGCAGCGAACGGGUGAGUAACGCGUGGGGAAUCUGCCUUUGAGCGGGGGACAACAUUUGGAAACGAAUGCUAAUACCGCAUAAAAACUUUAAACACAAGUUUUAAGUUUGAAAGAUGCAAUUGCAUCACUCAAAGAUGAUCCCGCGUUGUAUUAGCUAGUUGGUGAGGUAAAGGCUCACCAAGGCGAUGAUACAUAGCCGACCUGAGAGGGUGAUCGGCCACAUUGGGACUGAGACACGGCCCAAACUCCUACGGGAGGCAGCAGUAGGGAAUCUUCGGCAAUGGACGAAAGUCUGACCGAGCAACGCCGCGUGAGUGAAGAAGGUUUUCGGAUCGUAAAACUCUGUUGGUAGAGAAGAACGUUGGUGAGAGUGGAAAGCUCAUCAAGUGACGGUAACUACCCAGAAAGGGACGGCUAACCACGU